rnacentral:rRNA from 1 species
AUUGAACGCUCGCGGGAUGCUUUACACAUGCAAGUCGAACGGCAGCGCGGACUUCGGUCUGGCGGCGAGUGGCGAACGGGUGAGUAAUGUAUCGGAACGUGCCCAGUAGCGGGGGAUAACUACGCGAAAGCGUAGCUAAUACCGCAUACGCCCUACGGGGGAAAGCAGGGGAUCGUAAGACCUUGCACUAUUGGAGCGGCCGAUAUCGGAUUAGCUAGUUGGUGAGGUAACGGCUCACCAAGGCGACGAUCCGUAGCUGGUUUGAGAGGACGACCAGCCACACUGGGACUGAGACACGGCCCCGACUCCUACGGGAGGCAGCAGUGGGGAAUUUUGGACAAUGGGGGCAACCCUGAUCCAGCCAUCCCGCGUGUGCGAUGAAGGCCUUCGGGUUGUAAAGCACUUUUGGCAGGAAAGAAACGUCGCGGGCUAAUACCCCGUGGAACUGACGGUACCUGCAGAAUAAGCACCGGCUAACUACGUG